CAGGUAACAUUAAAUCGUACCCCAAACCGACACAGGUGGUCAGGUAGAGAAUACCAAGGCGCUUGAGAGAACUCGGGUGAAGGAACUAGGCAAAAUGGUGCCGUAACUUCGGGAGAAGGCACGCUGGCAUGUAGGUGAAGUCCCUUGCGGAUGGAGCUGAAGCCAGUCGAAGAUACCAGCUGGCUGCAACUGUUUAAUAAAAACACAGCACUGUGCAAACACGAAAGUGGACGUAUACGGUGUGACGCCUGCCCGGUGCUGGAAGGUUAAUUGAUGGGGUCAGCCGCAAGGCGAAGCUCUUGAUCGAAGCCCCAGUAAACGGCGGCCGUAACUAUAACGGUCCUAAGGUAGCGAAAUUCCUUGUCGGGUAAGUUCCGACCUGCACGAAUGGCGUAAUGAUGGCCAGGCUGUCUCCACCCGAGACUCAGUGAAAUUGAACUCGCUGUGAAGAUGCAGUGUACCCGCGGCAAGACGGAAAGACCCCGUGAACCUUUACUAUAGCUUGACACUGAACAUUGAGCCUUGAUGUGUAGGAUAGGUGGGAGGCUUUGAAGCGUGGACGCCAGUCUGCGUGGAGCCAUCCUUGAAAUACCACCCUUUAAUGUUUGAUGUUCUAACUCGGCCCCAUAAUCUGGGGUGAGGACAGUGUCUGGUGGGUAGUUUGACUGGGGCGGUCUCCUCCCAAAGAGUAACGGAGGAGCACGAAGGUUAGCUAAUCACGGUCGGACAUCGUGAGGUUAGUGCAAAGGCAUAAGCUAGCUUGACUGCGAGAGUGACGGCUCGAGCAGGUACGAAAGUAGGUCUUAGUGAUCCGGUGGUUCUGAAUGGAAGGGCCAUCGCUCAACGGAUAAAAGGUACUCCGGGGAUAACAGGCUGAUACCGCCCAAGAGUUCAUAUCGACGGCGGUGUUUGGCACCUCGAUGUCGGCUCAUCACAUCCUGGGGCUGAAGUAGGUCCCAAGGGUAUGGCUGUUCGCCAUUUAAAGUGGUACGCGAGCUGGGUUUAGAACGUCGUGAGACAGUUCGGUCCCUAUCUGCCGUGGGCGUUGGAAGAUUGAGAGGGGUUGCUCCUAGUACGAGAGGACCGGAGUGAACGCACCACUGGUGUUCGGGUUGUCAUGCCAAUGGCAUUGCCCGGUAGCUAAGUGCGGAAAAGAUAAGCGCUGAAAGCAUCUAAGCGCGAAACUUGCCUCAAGAUGAGUCUUCCCUGGGCCUUUAAGGCCCCUGAAGGAACGUUUAAGACUAAGACGUUGAUAGGCUGGGUGUGUAAGUGCAGCGAUGCAUUGAGCUAACCAGUACUAAUGAUCCGUGAGGCUUAACCUU
rnacentral:rRNA from 1 species